GCGGGGGUGCCUGAGCCUGGCCUAAAGGGCGGGACUUAAGAUCCCGUGGCCGCAGGGCCUUCGAGAGUUCGAAUCUCUCCCCCCGCACCA
rnacentral:tRNA from 1 species